AUUCCAGCUCCAAUAGCGUAUAUUAAAGUUGUUGCGGUAAAAAAGCUCGUAGUUGGAUUUCUGUUGAGGACGACCGGUCCGUACCACGUACGCGCAUCUGGCUCGGCCUCGGCAUCCUCUCGAUAGACGUUUCUGCGCUUGAUUGCGUGGAGCGGAUUUCGGGACUUUUACUUUGAGGAAAUUAGAGUGUUCACGGCAGGCAACCGCCCGAAUACAUUAGCAUGGAAUAAUACUAUAGGAUCUCGAUUCUAUUUUGUUGGUUUCUAGGAUUGGGAUAAUGAUUAAUAGGGACAAUUGGGGGCAUUCGUAUCAACACGUCAGAGGUGGAAUUCUUGGAUUGUGUUGCGACGAACUACUGCGAAAGCAUUUGCCAAGGAUGUUUUCAUCG
rnacentral:rRNA from 1 species